AUCUCCCUCCCUCCACACCGCACACUUGCACGCAUGCCCGCCUUCCUCGCGCCGCCCAUCUCCCUCCGCGCUGUGCGCUCACAUGCGGCAUGCCGCCUCCGUCUACUCGGGAUCUCUCUCCCGUCCUCCACUCCCCUACCUCAGCUUCCGCUCCUGCCCCAAGACGGCGCUCCCUCCUCUCGUUCAAGGCCAGUGCCUCAAUCCUGCAACUAUCCCCAAGAUCCAUCGUCGAAGAAGCCCGUGAACGAGGAUCUAUCCCCAAGUUCCGCAUCCAAAGGAGCCCGUGACAAGGACGCCAAGCCAGAAAGCCGCGACGCUACUCCAUGUCGGUGGACAAUCUGCGGAGAGCCGGUGACAGAUCACAGCUUGUUCCUCCUGAUCUAGGUUUGGUUUGUGGGGGAAAUCGCCUGGAACCCUAGAGCUGCUUGAGGAAAUGAAGAUCACUAGAGACCGCACCACAUUGAGGAUCGAUGGGGCUGCAGAUGAGGAGGUGUUGCUACUGAAUUUAUCUGACCAUUUGUGAGUCUGAAAAUUUAUUUAAUAUAUACUGCUUUGUGUUUUGGUUCUGUACUGUAGAUUAUAACACUACUCAAUAACACUAUAUAGGUGACCAGUUCUUCAUACAUUAAUUUCUGGAUGGAUUAUUCUCAGUUGAAUAUUUAUAAAUUAUUUUUCUAAUUAUAUUUUUGCUCUAUAUGUUGUGAGAAGGCUGAGAGUUCCUUUUUGAGAUGUACAAAUAGAUACAUCAUACUCUUAAGGUUUUAAAUGUUUAGAAUGCCAGAAAUUUUGCAAGACCAUUAUCAUGAGUUUCAGGAUGCAUCAUGAAUUUUUGUUGGUACAAUGUUUAAUGCAAGCUUCGUGCAGAUUUUUCCUGACCUCAUUUACAAUAUGUCUAUUGUCUCUUGCAUGCAGUAUGACACUCAGCUUAAAAGGUCGGUCAGAAUGCUAUUCUCAAAAUGGAUUUUUAACCAAUGCUAUUCUCAUGCACUUAUAAUUACUUCCUAUUCUUGCAUAGCUACUAGACUGAAAACUGAAUGUGUUUACCUAUAAUUACUGCAUGUUCUUGCAUAGCUACUGGACAAAAACUGAAUGUGUAUCAGUUAUUUUGCUGAUGUAAUUAAGAGAACUAAUGACUCACUUAUCCAAGGUUAUGGCACUUCUUUGUAUUGUUCACUUCUGUCUAUGUUUUAUUUCUCAAGUUUAUGGCACUUCUUUUUUUUAAGAAAUGCAUGUGCUAGGAAAUGCUAGUUUUCUAUCAUAAUAAAUAGGUCAUUGAGUUUAGUCCUGUAAGAGAGAGUUACAAUAAAUAGGUCAUUGAGUCAUGUCCCUUUUUUUUAACAGGAAAGUGAUCUAUAAUAAACAAACAGUAGUGAUAUAUAUUGAGUCAAGUGACAUAUGUCCCAAAUAUUUCCUACUUGCUUAUCUAUUACAUUUUCUAUAUAUAUGUUGUGUAUUUCAAACAUGCAUGAAACAUAUACUGUACAGCAAGGCAUAAGUCAGGACUUCUUAUCUAACUUAGCUCUGGUUAACCAUAGAAGUAAAGACUAUUUCUUCUGCUUGCAUGUAGCGGCAUGUGCCUUUUCUCUUGAUUUGCCUUUUCUUUUACUGCCCAAUAGUCAGGCAAGUUGCUAUUUAUUGUCAUUUUGAGGUAUGGAAUAUGUGAUCUGGUAUUGUCAUUUUUUAAAUGUUAAUCUGAUGCAGAUCGUGCUAUAUCUCAGGUAGACUACAAUUUUACAUAUAGUGCUGUGAAAGACUGGGCUGCUGGAAGAGAAGGAAAUGGUCCAAUUAGAUGGUGCUCUGCCAGAUCCAAAAUUACUAUGAGAUGUUGGGCUACUAGGACUCCGGCAAGGACGUUGGGACCUUCACAGCGGCAUGGCAGUAGUCUACAAACUCUAAACUUAGAUUUCUCUACAGCCCUAGCACAGUGUAGUCUUUUUCCGCAACCCUAUUGGGCUAUUUGGAUGGAAUUGAGAUUGUAAAUCUUGUAUUCAAUGAGUGGAUCUUGUUUGAAAAAUCGUGGAUUUGUUUGCAAUUUUGCUGUAUAUAAAAUCAGUGAUCUAA